rnacentral:rRNA from 3 species
AGGGAUCAUUACCGAGUUUACAACUCCCAAACCCAUGUGAACAUACCUACUGUUGCUUCGGCGGGAUUGCCCCGGGCGCCUCGUGUGCCCCGGAUCAGGCGCCCGCCUAGGAAACUUAAUUCUUGUUUUAUUUUGGAAUCUUCUGAGUAGUUUUUACAAAUAAAUAAAAACUUUCAACAACGGAUCUCUUGGUUCUGGCAUCGAUGAAGAACGCAGCGAAAUGCGAUAAGUAAUGUGAAUUGCAGAAUUCAGUGAAUCAUCGAAUCUUUGAACGCACAUUGCGCCCGCCAGUAUUCUGGCGGGCAUGCCUGUCUGAGCGUCAUUUCAACCCUCAUGCCCCUAGGGCGUGGUGUUGGGGAUCGGCCAAAGCCCGCGAGGGACGGCCGGCCCCUAAAUCUAGUGGCGGACCCGUCGUGGCCUCCUCUGCGAAGUAGUGAUAUUCCGCAUCGGAGAGCGACGAGCCCCUGCCGUUAAACCCCCAACUUUCCAAGGUUGACCUCAGAUCAGGUAGGAAUACCCGCUGAACUUAA